rnacentral:tRNA from 1 species
GGGACUGUAGCUCAGAAGGACAGAGCACUGGUGCGCACAUCAACAUGACAGAGGUCGCUGGUUCGAAUCCAGCCAGUCCCCCUA